GCCUUUGCUGGGCCCAGGGAGUGGUUCGGAGAAGGAGCCUUCACGGGAUACCACGCCCACGCCUGCAAGAACGAAAAGUAAGUAGGUGCCGCCUCCGAAUGGUCGUCUCCCUGCUUGCCACAAGUGCGCGGGGCACGCAGGGCGGGUUGCAAGUGCCCACGACGAGCUUACCCUUAUCAGGAAGGUUCGUCAAGCGGUUCGUGUAUCGCUUCUGCUCAUCGACUUUUCGGUACCCGGAGCUCAAAAAAGCAAGGGGGUCCCGCUCUGUGCUCGGACACACAACCUGCAGGGCACCGAGGCACCGAGUGGAAGGAGAGUCCGGGUGUGCACAAUGUCUCAACAUUACAAGAGAAGUGAUGUUGUACAAAGGAGCCAGGGCUUCGGAGGACGAGGAUUUCAGUCGGGAAUGCCCAAAGAAGGGCCCGAAAGUGAAGGAAGCAUCUUAUGGUAGCCCUUGUUUCAACAUGAG
rnacentral:lncRNA from 1 species